rnacentral:lncRNA from 1 species
ACCACAUAAAACCCAUUUUUAAACACUUUUGAAAACCUGUAUUUUCUUUUUUUUAAGAUAAUAAAACCAAAAGAAUUUCAAACCUGAAAACAUUUAAUAAAAGAUUUGAAUGAGAACAUAAAUCAAAUGAUUUCAAAACCUGAAUUUCAAACUUAAAAGCCAUAAUAAGAGAAUUUCAAGAGAACAUUUAAACUUUAAUAAAUGAUUCGAAAGAGAACAUUUAAACCCCCUAAAAGCAACAGGAUCGCAUCCAGGUUACAGUAUUGAAAUUAGAAUCUACCACUAUUAUUACACAACAUCUCUUACCAAAUCAGAUCAUCUUCGAUAAGAAGAAUCACUGUCAACUAUUCCAGCUAUGACUUACACUUGAAUCCCUAUAGCACAGCUCUAGCUUGCACCAACCUCAUCAACUUUCCUGAACACUCCUCGACCACUGGAUCCUCAACUCUGUCUCCUCGCCUAGCAUUAGCCUUAUCCACAAUCUCAAUCAAUCAUCUCAUCUUUUAGCCUUUCUGAAAUGGUUAGAAAGGAAUAGCAAGGGUGAGCAACAAUGCUCAGCAAGUAAUAAUAAACAAUGAUAGUUCUGAAAUGAUAUAACAGAAGAUCACGAGUUCAAGAUAUAAGAGGAUUCAACCUGAGUUCAUGAGUUUCAUGGUAUUGUAUAGAAUGAUUUACAAUACCUUGCAGCAUUUAACUUGAGAAAUUCAAUCUUUCCAAAGAAUUAUUGAAUUGGACUAUCACAUUUUAAUUAAAACCAAGGUUAGGCAGCUGAUCAGUUCCGCACUAACCCCGAGCAGGCCCCGCCAUGCUCUAUCACUGGAUCCAAGGCACUCAUUGGCCUAACAUGACCACGAAUCUGGUCCACAGGUUUAUAUAAAAACAAUAAUCCAAUUCUAUAAUUCAAUAACAGGUCAACGUAUAACAACAGAACAUAAACACAAUCAAUAUCAAUGAUAGAAUAAUUCCAAAUCAAACUUUGAUAAUCAACUUUUCAUAAACCAGAGUCCAUCCUUUCAUAAAUCAUAGUUCAGGAAAUCCUUAACUAUUCAGUAUCCUCCAUUAUCGGCUAAGCAACUGAAUUUAGCCUGCUAAACCAGCAUGACAAUGGCGGGUUGAAUAAUCAAGAAGAUCCCAAGUCAUUCUAGGUUCUAAUCAUCACUGAGCAACACAUGCUUCAAUGACAAUCUGAACUUCGAAUUAAUUUGUAAAACUGGAAUUAUCUGAAUUUUUGAGGAUUAGAAAAGGAUGGAUAAAAAUAUUUGCACUUGCCAAAUAUGAAAAAGAGAGGAACGAAUAUUUGCAACACAUACGAAAAGAAUGAAUCAGAAUAAUCGCAAGAUAUCCAAAAGAAGGGUAUAGGAUACUUGCCUUAAAUCUGACUCCAGUUUCAUAGCUCAACCUCAUCUUUCCACUUUCACAAUCUAUCCAUCUCAUAAUCUCUAGACCAUCUCUAGCUAUACUCUAUUCGCCACAUCGCUUCGCUUACUCGAUUCAUCCCUUAUUCGCUUUUCAAUACCAUUCCGACUUUCUGACGUCUUCGAGCGUAUACGUCUCCUCCAAAUCCUUUACGAGAAUAAGAUAAUACUAUAGUCACUAAAUAAUAUAUCGCAUAUACAUAUCACGUAUACCGAUACCCACUUAUACAACCCUUUAAACUCAUCAAAUAUCACUUAACACAUAAUCAUGCUUUGACUCUACCAUAUAGUCCAAUCAUAUUCCACAUAACAUAUUAUCAAUUAAAUAUCAUAUAAAUCUUAUCGAAAAUCCGACAUCGUCUCGUCUAUUUAUAAGACUAUCCACCUGUUAUCCUAUUUUGUCCAACAACCAAUCAACCAAUUCCAAUUCCUAUAAUCCAUAUGUCCUUAUCCAAUAUUAAUCAAAUCAUGACACUAUGUCAUAUAAGUCAUUUAUCACGUAUAUAAUAUCAGGAAUAGACAUAUAUAUCACGUAAUCAUCAAUUAAUAACAAUCCAAUAACAUAUAAUCACAUUCAGCACAUUUAACAACAAUUAUUCACAUUCUCGACUCCAUCAUAUUAUUAUGUCAUAUCAAACUAGACUUUAUAAGCUUUCAUCUCUCUUUCGUUUCACUUGAUUCCGACUUACGGAUCAAAAGUUAUGACCAAAACCGUUUUCUGACUCCGCUCUCAACAUAUAAUACCUUACACCGAUAGCAGUCAACACAUUACACAUUAAGUCUCCCAUCCCAAUUGAUGUCAAGUCAAGUCUGGGGUUAAAAAAGAUUUUUCGGGAAUUUUCCAGAAUUUUUAAACAUUUUUCGGAAUUAAAACGGAUAAAAGAAUCACUUUUUGAAUAAAUAAUCAAGUCCGGAUAUUCGAAAUUGGACUUGAAAUCAUUCAUAAACAAUUGUCGAGCCUUGAAAAUAAUUUGGAAAAAUAUUUUAAAGCUCGAAACUAUUUUUCGGAAUUUUUAAAUCAAAAAGGAUUAAUUAAAUCCAAUUAAUUAAUCAAUUAAAAUCAAUUAAUAAUUAAUUAAAAUAAUUAAUCAAUUAAUAUUUAAAUUAAUUGACCAAUUAAAAUAAUUAAUUACUAAUUAAAAUUAAUUAAUAAAUCAAAUUAGAUUUAUUUUUGAAUAAAGAAAUAAUUAAAAACUAUUUUUGAAAUUUAAAAUAAUUAAAUAAAACAAUUUUUGAAAAUUAAAAUUAAAAAGGUUUAAAGUGUCAAUGUUUAAAACUUUGUCGCAAGGUUUAAACUGCAACUUUUCAAAGUUACAGGGUUUGAAUCGUUAAAACCGAAACUAUAGUACCCAACCUUCACCAUCUUCAAAAGAUGGGUGGCCAAACGGAAAUUUUCCGCCGGCCACCACCCAACUCGCCGGAAACGACCAUACGAGCCACCACCUUCAUCCAAACUCUCCAGAAUUAAAGUAUAUACAUCCAUAAACUCGUACAAACAAUCACUUUCACCAAACCACACUUGUUUUAGCCGGAUUUUGUCCGGAAAGAGGGGCCGUCGUCGAGUUCUUCAAGAACUCCGGCGAACCCGACCCACGAAUCCCACAUACAAUUUGAACACUGAAAUCGAUUCCUUGCAACCCCUAGAACAUGCCAAUACCCUUCAAUUUUACCCAGACUUCCCCGAUUAAAAAGCCCCAAAAUCGAAUUGAAACAUUCAAGAACACUCAAGAACACCCCUCAAGAAUCAAACCCACUUUUCUAGGUGUUAUGGAACUCAAAAAUCAACAUAUAAUAUACCAAAACGACGAGAAAAACACGUUCUACAACAUGGAAUCAUCCAAACAAUCAAACAAACACGUUUACAAAAAUUCAUCAUUUAAAUCAUAUAAAUUCGAAUUUUGAAAAAUAAAUAUAAAAUCACCUGACAAAUCUGCACAUAAACGGAUGAUUGUACUAGAUUCUACGCGUCGAUAGCUUCGUUUUGACUAUUCAUACGCCUCCAUCGGAUUCAAAUAACACCUUCAAAACCUUGUUUGAUUACGAAGAACACGAAGAACGCAGCUCGGUUUCUCUCGGUAUUUGUGAACAGAAACUGGUGAAAAUGAUUUACGGUUGAAAAUAAGCUCUAGAAAGGUCUAUUUAUAUUUACAAAUAAUUGGUACCCCUUUGGAUCGUUUAUGACAUGAAAAUACGUAUUUAAUAGCUUUAUAUUAAUAAAGCAGGGUCCAAUCGGUACUGGUUUUCGAGAUAAUCAUCAAAACAGGACUUUUUAAUCAGUCAUUAGUAUGCGGGUCCCAUCGCAAUUAUUACAAGAUAAGAAUUAAUAUAAUAAUCAAAAUAUCUAGUUUCACGCUUAUCGAGACAAACUGGAUAAUUAUCAACAAUUAAAAUACCCGAAAAACUCCGCCGGACCGACUCCGGGGAAAACCGUACUCCGGAUCGAAAAAGUCAAAACACGAAAAAUGUCCGGAAUAUUCAAAUUAGGCUAAAGGUGAGUUUUGUUGAAACUUCCGGGAAGAAAAUUUGCUACCUCGUUACGAGUGGACGGUUUUACGGAAGUCAAAUAAUUAAUAAAUAAAUAUAAAUAUACGCAAUUAAAUCCGUAAAUCGAUUAUAAAAUCAUCUAACAUUCCAUAAAUCGAUAUGAAAAUAUCCAAAUAAACUAUAUUUUCUCCUGAGCAUAUAGAAAUUGAAAUCUCUCAAAUACGAACACAUAUGAGCAGUCAACUCAAUAAACCAGAUAAUACAAAAUUCACAAAAAUUCAUAUAUUAAUCAUAUAAUAUUAAUAAUUAAUCAUAACUAAUUAACAAACAAAUUCACCAAUACCACUUAAUCACAUAACACAUAUAUUCACAUAAUAUUCAUACAGAAUUUUCAAAACAAUAUAUGAAAAUCAGUUUUGAAAAUACAAUUAUUUAUCAAUAACACAAUAACCCGGGGUUUAAAUAUAAAACCUUGAAAACUCAUUAAACUGGAAUAAAAUAUUAAAUCUUAUUCCCUUCUUUGAAGAAAAUCACUUUUAAUACUAAUAAAAAUAUUUUUAAAAAUCCGGGUCAUUACAAUCUACCCUCCUUAUAGGGAUUCCGUCCUCGGAAUCAGAGAAAGAAGGAGGACGCAUAAUUAGUAUAAUCCAUAUUAAUCCACAGAACAAGUAUAAUCAUAUAAAACUAUUCACAUAAUCAAUUCACUUUUCAACUAAAGCCAACAAUAAUAUUUAGACAAAUAGAUUUAUAAUAAUCAAAUCUAAAUUUAAUAAUAUGGGAUAUUACAUUCUACCCCCCUUAUAAGGAUUCUGUCCUCAGAAUCCGCGAUGAGAACUAAAACGUAUCAUUUAUAAGAUCAUUGUACACGCUUCAUAAUAUCACAUGCUCAUCCGCCUUUGAUCAACUUUGGCAUACCUUCAAAGUUAAAGAAAUAGGAGAAUCAAAACCUUCACAAUUGCAAACUUCAUUUCCCAAGAAUCAAUCUUUGGGAAUUUCGGAGGAACAAGAUAUUUUCAAAAUAGGUCACAUUGGAAUACAAGAGUGACUGGGAGAUCAAUAAGAUCAAUUGAACUUAAUGUUGCGUGUCCAUAUUAGACACUACUAAAGGUUGUUAACCUUCUUGUAAUCACAACACACACAAGUGAUGGCGUCCCAUCCAACUCCUAUCACACAGACAGGUAUACCUUGUGUCCCCUAUACAUAGGGUUGUUCAUCCCAAUCAGAUGGAAAGAAUCCAAGAAAUCUCAAUGAGCAUCAAGGAAUGUUAAGGAUUAUCGAGGAAUAUAUUAAGGAAUAUCGAAAAGAUAUCAAAGAAUAUCAAAGAGUGUCAAAGAAUAUCAACGAAUAUUAAGGGAUAUCAAAGAAUAUGGAAGAAUAUCAAGGGAUAUCAAAGAAUAUCAAAUAAUAUCAAGGAAUUCCACUGUCUCUUCAUAAACACGCCUUUAUCAUACACCGAUUCAAUACUAACUCACACCAAUAAUCAAUAUCAUUGUCAUCAUAGAAUUCGAGAAAUUGAAGAUCUUCUUUAUCAGAACUUUUUAUAGAAUAGGUAUCAUAAUAAUAACUCGCUGAUGAGGAAAACAAUCAAAAGAAUCUUUAGUUGAAGAGAGGUAUUGCCAAGGUCUUCUCAGAUUUUCGCUCUGCUUCAAUAAAUCGUUGUUCGUCGUAUGUCUUCUUCUCCACGUUCUCGAUAAUCAAUCGAUGUUGACUCGUAAUAACCUUGUAAAAUUUCAUCGUCGACAUUAUCGUUCGUAAUAACUCUCGCCCAUGUAGUCUUCGUUUUUUUUUUUUUUCUAUUUCAUUCCAUCUGCCUUUGAAGUCCAUAGCACAGCACGUAGCAUAUCUUCGAUUAUCUGGAUCAUCAACCUGUGGGUUAUGGGCCCACCUUGAUGCCAAUUGAAAUCCCGAUUAGCUCGAAGCGUUGUCGUCGAGGACUAACGUUCUAACUUACUCGUAGACAUCAUCUCUAAUAACUGGACUCCAUUCCACGUACUCUCUAUCAUUCACUUCUCACCUAUCAACCUCUAUCUACCAAUCUCUCCUUCUAAUCCAAUACAACUCAUACUCUACACUUACUCUUCAUAUCUUCACUCAAAACAAUAUACAUCUUCCAAAUAUCUGACAUGGUCAACAUACUAUGAACCAUGCAUUUAUAUCAUCCUCAAAUCAAUACAAUAAUCCAAUUUCAAAUAUGCAGUAUAGUCAGAAUACUCUGAACUCUGCAUUUUCACCAUUCUCAACUCAAUCAUUCACUAUCAAACUCUUCUAUAUAGGUCUAAUACUGACCUUUUCCACAAUUCACCAUCUCAAUUAGUCAACAUACUAGAAAUCAUAUGUCUAAACUUAAGAAUCCUAAUCUCUUCAAAUAUCCACACUUAACUUGAUCAUCUAACUAAACUCUAUGCUUCACUCACAUCUCUAGACUAUUCCUAAAUAGUCCGACCAUACCUCUAUGUGAGGUUACACCACAUUCUUCUCUAGAAAACCUAUAACUAUGAUCUAUAUUCUAAUUUCAAAUACUUAUAACCUGUGGCUCUGAUACCAACUGUGACGGUCCGAGAAUCCGGGGGCCUGGAUUCUGACGUCACCACAUAAAAACCUUUUUAAAACACUUUCGAAAACCUGAAAAUUUUUUUUUUUUUUUUUUUAUUUUUAGAUAAUAAAAUCAGAGAAUUUAAAACCUGAAAACAUUUAAUAAAAGAUUUGAAUGAGAACAUAAAUCGAAUGAUUUCAAAACCUGAAUUUCAAACUUGAAAGCCAUAAUAGGAGAAUUUCAAGAGAACAUUUAAACUUUAAUAAAUGAUUCGAAAGAGAACAUUUAAACCCCCUAAAAGCAACAGGAUCGCAUCCAGGUUACAGUAUUGAAAUUAGAAUCUACCACUAUUAUUACACAACAUCUCUUACCAAAUCAGAUCAUCUUCGAUAAGAAGAAUCACUGUCAACUAUUCCAGCUUGCACCAACCUCAUCAACUUUCCUGAACACUCCUCGACCACUGGAUCCUCAACUCUGUCUCCUCGCCUAGCAUUAGCCUUAUUCACAAUCUCAAUCAAUCAUCUCAUCUUUAAGCCUUUCUGAAAUGGUUAGAAAGGAAUAGCAAGGGUGAGCAACAAUGCUCAGCAAGUAAUAAUAAACAAUGAUAGUUCUGAAAUGAUAUAACAGAAGUUCACGAGUUCAAGAUAUAAGAGGAUUCAACCUGAGUUCAUGAGUUCAUGGUAUUGUAUAGAAUGAUUUACAAUACCUUGCAGCAUUUAAACUGAGAAAUUCAAUCUUUCCAAAGAAUUAUUGAAUUGGACUAUCACAUUUUAAUUAAAACCAAGGUUAGGCAGCUGAUCAGUUCCGCACUAACCCCGAGCAGGCCCCGCCAUGCUCUAUCACUGGAUCCAAGGCACUCAUUGGCCUAACAUGACCACGAAUCUGGUCCACAGGUUUAUAUAAAAACAAUAAUCCAAUUCUAUAAUUCAAUAACAGGUCAACGUAUAACAACAGAACAUAAACACAAUCAAUAUCAAUGAUAGAAUAAUUCCAAAUCAAACUUUGAUAAUCAACUUUUCAUAAACCAGAGUCCAUCCUUCCAUAAAUCAUAGUUCAGGAAAUCCUUAACUAUUCAGUAUCCUCCAUUAUCGGCUAAGCAACUGAAUUUAGCCUGCUAAACCAGCAUGACAAUGGCGGGUUGAAUAAUCAAGAAGAUCCCAAGUCAUUCUAGGUUCUAAUCAUCACUGAGCAACACAUGCUUCAAUGACAAUCUGAACUUCGAAUUAAUUUGUAAAACUGGAAUUAUCUGAAUUUUUGAGGAUUAGAAAAGGAUGGAUAAAAAUAUUUGCACUUGCCAAAUAUGAAAAAGAGAGGAACGAAUAUUUGCAACACAUACGAAAAGAAUGAAUCAGAAUAAUCGCAAGAUAUCCAAAAGAAGGGUAUAG